GCUUCGGUAACUGACCUAGCGGCGGACGGGUGAGUAAUACUUAGGAAUCUGCCUAUUAAUGGGGGACAACAUCUCGAAAGGGAUGCUAAUACCGCAUACGCCCUACGGGGGAAAGCAGGGGAUCACUUGUGACCUUGCGUUAAUAGAUGAGCCUAAGUCGGAUUAGCUAGUUGGUGGGGUAAAGGCCUACCAAGGCGACGAUCUGUAGCGGGUCUGAGAGGAUGAUCCGCCACACUGGGACUGAGACACGGCCCAGACUCCUACGGGAGGCAGCAGUGGGGAAUAUUGGACAAUGGGCGAAAGCCUGAUCCAGCCAUGCCGCGUGUGUGAAGAAGGCCUUUUGGUUGUAAAGCACUUUAAGCGAGGAGGAGGCUACUUGGAUUAAUACUCUAGGACAGUGGACGUUACUCGCAGAAUAAGCACCGGCUAACUCUGUGCCAGCAGCCGCGGUAAUACAGAGGGUGCGAGCGUUAAUCGGAUUUACUGGGCGUAAAGCGUGCGUAGGCGGCUUUUUAAGUCGGAUGUGAAAUCCCUGAGCUUAACUUAGGAAUUGCAUUCGAUACUGGGAAGCUAGAGUAUGGGAGAGGAUGGUAGAAUUCCAGGUGUAGCGGUGAAAUGCGUAGAGAUCUGGAGGAAUACCGAUGGCGAAGGCAGCCAUCUGGCCUAAUACUGACGCUGAGGUACGAAAGCAUGGGGAGCAAACAGGAUUAGAUACCCUGGUAGUCCAU
rnacentral:rRNA from 1 species